UGCCUCGUUAUUCAGCAAAUAGACACGACUUACUGUGUGUCUGAAAUUGAAAAACGUGGCUAGAGGAAUAACCAGGUUAUGCUUUCCUCACUGUAAAGCUAAUUGCAGUGGUGACAAUGAGACCUGUAACAGGG
ensembl:snoRNA small nucleolar RNA, H/ACA box 1